rnacentral:rRNA from 1 species
UACAGAGGGUGCAAGCGUUAAUCGGAAUUACUGGGCGUAAAGCGUGCGUGGACGGUCAUGUAAGUCGGGUGUGAAAGCCCCGGGCUCAACCUGGGAAUUGCAUUCGAGACUGCAUGGCUAGGAUGCGGAAGAGGGAAGCGGAAUUUCCGGUGUAGCGGUGAAAUGCGUAGAUAUCGGAAGGAACACCAGUGGCGAAAGCGGCUUCCUGGUCCAGCAUCGACGUUCAGGCACGAAAGCGUGGGGAGCAAACAGG